GCAUAUAGAGGGAGGAGACAUCGAAUGUUUGGAUGCAUUUUAGGCAGCCAUGACCCAGGUAGGAUCUCUAACAGCUACCUGAGGAGUGGCCAGUGAAGUUAUCACUGGGCUGUAAUGCAAACACUGCAUUUUCUCUACUCACCAGAACAAAUUCAAUAAGCUGUAGUAGUUCUGGUGACUAUAGUGUCUAUUUAAGCUGCUG